rnacentral:rRNA from 1 species
UGGGGAAUAUUGGACAAUGGGCGCAAGCCUGAUCCAGCCAUGCCGCGUGAGUGAUGAAGGUCUUCGGAUCGUAAAACUCUGUUAUUAGGGAAGAACAAAUGUGUAAGUAACUAUGCACGUCUUGACGGUACCUAAUCAGAAAGCCACGGCUAACUACGUGCCAGCAGCCGCGGUAAUACGUAGGUGGCAAGCGUUAUCCGGAAUUAUUGGGCGUAAAGCGCGCGUAGGCGGUUUUUUAAGUCUGAUGUGAAAGCCCACGGCUCAACCGUGGAGGGUCAUUGGAAACUGGAAAACGUGAGUGCAGAAGAGGAAAGUGGAAUUCCAUGUGUAGCGGUGAAAUGCGCAGAGAUAUGGGGGAACACCAGUGGCGAAGGCGACUUUCUGGUCUGUAACUGACGCUGAUGUGCGAAAGCGUGGGGAUCAAACAGG